rnacentral:misc_RNA from 1 species
UAAUAGUGUUUUAUGGCACUUUUUAAAUCCAUAUCCACCUUGUGUGCAAUGUCAGUCGAUCUUCUUCAUGGAGAUCGACCAAACAUCAACCUUUAUCUUUUAACUCUUUGUCUGAAAAAUAUUAUGAAUAAACAAUUCAAAGUA